rnacentral:miRNA from 1 species
CACUCGAAGUCACUGUACCUG